CAGGCCUAACACAUGCAAGUCGAACGGUAACAGGAAGAAGCUUGCUUCUUUGCUGACGAGUGGCGGACGGGUGAGUAAUGUCUGGGAAACUGCCUGAUGGAGGGGGAUAACUACUGGAAACGGUAGCUAAUACCGCAUAACGUCGCAAGACCAAAGAGGGGGACCUUCGGGCCUCUUGCCAUCGGAUGUGCCCAGAUGGGAUUAGCUUGUUGGUGGGGUAACGGCUCACCAGGCGACGAUCCCUAGCUGGUCUGAGAGGAUGACCAGCCACACUGGAACUGAGACACGGUCCAGACUCCUACGGGAGGCAGCAGUGGGGAAUAUUGCACAAUGGGCGCAAGCCUGAUGCAGCCAUGCCGCGUGUAUGAAGAAGGCCUUCGGGUUGUAAAGUACUUUCAGCGGGGAGGAAGGGAGUAAAGUUAAUACCUUUGCUCAUUGACGUUACCCGCAGAAGAAGCACCGGCUAACUCCGUGCCAGCAGCCGCGGUAAUACGGAGGGUGCAAGCGUUAAUCGGAAUUACUGGGCGUAAAGCGCACGCAGGCGGUUUGUUAAGUCAGAUGUGAAAUCCCCGGGCUCAACCUGGGAACUGCAUCUGAUACUGGCAAGCUUGAGUCUCGUAGAGGGGGGUAGAAUUCCAGGUGUAGCGGUGAAAUACGUAGAGAUCUGGAGGAAUACCGGUGGCGAAGGCGGCCCCCUGGACGAAGACCU
rnacentral:rRNA from 1 species